UGUGUUGCUACCGGUUGCGCCAGGCCGCCGAACGGUGGCGCUGAUCGCGUGCUGCAAGCGGCCCGGAAUUCGCAUCACUGCUUCCGAGCACUGUUCUAGAUAUAUCGCGGCAGUGCAACACGUGUGGACGAAUCACGUGCAAGUGCUCCGUGAAGAGUGCAAUGUGAUCUAAAGAUUAAAAAAAGAAACAUGGAAAAUAACGAGCGAGUGGAAUGCGAACUGCUGGAAGAGUGCGACCAGGUUGCUAUUUUAAUGGAGUGUUUCACAUGCAACGAUGCGAUGAAUAUAUCGAGCAGCUCUGUCGUGUCAAGCGUCCGUGCCUCGCCAUUGAACACAGACGAUCCGUAGUAGCGAGGAUCGUGCGAAUACAAAAACGCAAUUGGAGCGACGUUUCGUAUACAUUAGUGGCGAGUACGCGUGUGGCAACGAAAGGCGAGAGAUUGAUGCCGCGUUUGAGAAUCGUGUUCUGAUAGGCGGAGUGUAAAUUCUAAUCACAUCGAGCCGUGGAGGAAGACGCGAGAAAAAUAGUGUUCGAACAUGUGUGAGACGCUAUAGAAAGACACGGUAGUGUGAACACCGUGUUCCACGAAAUUUGCGACGAAUGACAAAUGUGUUAAGAGUAUAAACACUAAGAACAUUGAGAUAUACCGAUGCACCGAUUUGCGCGAGUAAUAUGAGCCACAUUGCGCAGCGCGUCAUCGAACACACGUUGACAUCGCUCGAAAAGUUCAAGUCCAAGAAUGCGACAGCGAGUGGGCAUAAUCACAUAUAUUGAAUUUAAUUGUCAACGUGAACAAACUAAAUCAGUCAGUAACCUACCUUCAUCUGACGAAGAAGUACUAUCCGACGAUACUGGUUAUGCUAGUAACUUGAGCGAGUACGGAUCGUACAGAAAAAUUUGUGCCAUCUCCGAAAAUCCGUGUGUGAACAGCCGUACUAAACACUGCAUGAUCCAGUGUUACUAUACAAUUUGUUAACUAUUGCGAGCAUUGCAAAAUGACGUCUAAAAGCUAUAGUCGACUCAGAGUCGACUUAGAGUGCCGUCCCAUUAGGCACGGAUUGGAAUAACGGAUCGGAUUCUGCUAAGGAAUUCUAGUGUAUUCUUGAUCCUGCUGUUUCUCCCGAUCGAAACGUUAAAUUUCCUGUAAUCCGGACGGAUCUGGCGGGUGUUUCUGUCCGCUCAAAUUUUAAAACGCCAUUGUGUUGGAAGAAUAUCAUCAGAAUAUUUUGUUUUAUUCCGACUUGUAUCAGUUUAUGUGAUGUGCAUGUGUUGUCACUAGGACUUAGCACGUAAUAAUAAGUCAAAAUUCUACCAAGAUGAAUACCAAUAAUUAGGAAAAGAGCCGGCUAUAAAAUGCGGUUAUUGUGGGUGGAUAAUAUACGGAUCCUGUGCGGAGAUUCAAGCUCAUACUGCUUCAAAAGUUACAAUGAAUUUAUCCAUAUUCUCGUUGUUGACGAGAAGGGCCGUGCUACAAUGAGAAUAAAGCAAGUAGGAAAAAGUACGCAGGAUGCACCACCAUCAGAGAAUAGUAAUGCAUUUACUUCAUAAUCAAUGGACCUCAUGGAUGAGAUAGAUACUCAUUGAUGCCGUUGAGCAAAGAUCAGGUCUAUGGAAUCAAAAGUUGCCAGUUCAAAAGCGAAGCCCUUAUAUACAACAAGAGUUUUAAGAACGUAGCGUGGAUGAAAUCUCGAUGGAUGUACUUGAGGAACUGUUACAAAAGCUCGCAAAAAAAUGAAAAAUUAUGUACGCAACGGAUCAGGUGCGGAAGCGGGACAUCCACAGAAAAGUACUUUCUGCUUCUAUUUAAGAAUGCAAUUUCUAUAUAAGGCUGUACAGGAAAUGCCUACAAGUUCUCUAUCACGGAACAUAUGUCAUGAUGAAGCUAGUGCAUUAAGCUCGAAUGAUUCGGAAUUUCAGCAAUAUAAUGUGUCUUCUCCAACAGAUUGUAGCACAUUUAUGAAACAUCAAACUAUUCGGCUCAUAGCAGACGAUUAACAAAAAAACAAAAAGGAAAACAGUAUGAUCGAUUUGCAGACACUGCAUGACAACAUAUUGCAACAGUUGCUUGCUGAAAAUACUCCAAAAAAGGAUGCAGUGGACAGUUUCCUGAAGCAGUUGGGAGAUAUCCUGCGUAAGUUGAGCUAUCUUCGAAGAAGGCGAA